AAAGACUAGUAUACCCAGCUAGAUUAUCAAGGUAUGUAAUUUCGAGGACGAAAUUUUUUUUAAGGAGGGAGGGAUGUAAUACCCCGUUUCCCCGAGCUAAAUUUAGAAUUUAUUUUCGAACUUAGAUUUAAGAUGAUUCACGCCGGAUUGAGAAAAAGAAUUUAUUUUUAAUUCCAACAAAAAUGAUUUACAAAAACAUUUGUAAAUUUAGUUAUUGAAUUUAUAUGCAUUGCAUAUUUAUUUAAUUUAGCAUUCAAGUAUUUUCACGAGCUAUUUAUUUAGCGAACCCUGAAGUAUUAUUACAGUCCCGGUAUUUUAUGUUCCUAAUAGCCACCCUAUAUCAUGAUUAUUUUUUUCAUACAUGUCACAAUUAAAUCCUCUCAUAUCUUAUCAAAUCAUCUUAUAUCUUAUCAAAUUCUUUUGCUUUAGUUGUCCACUCUCUUUUGUUUCCACUUUCUUUUGUUUUUAUGCUGUCAAAAUUCCACUUAGCAAAUCAGCCAAAUCUUUCACACAAACCUCUCACCGUGGAGCUUUUCCCUUCUUCAAUUAGCUUUUCAACAACAAGCUCAUCAUUUUUCUUCUUUCACGGAAGGUUUCUGCUUCUGUAUUUUUACAGAAAGCCUGCAUUGAUUUCAUCUAUGAUAAUCCAAGCAGACACAACCCACACAUAACAACUCUAAUCAACAGGCAAUAGCUUCAUCUGAAAUCCUCUCUCAUCCGUAAAUUGGAGAAAACCAGUCUGCUUUCACGGAGGUAAUCGAUAAUCCAGCAUCAUAUAUACACUAAGAGUCAUCCCUCAUACCAGAGACACAUGAACUUUUAUGUACUGACCAUAUGAUAAAAUUUUACUUCAAGUAUAAUCUUUACAUACAUAUACACAAAAGAAAUUUUCAGCACUUGAGCUAUCAAAGUAUUUUUCUUUCAUAAGAUGCUUUUGUGUGUGAUGGUGUGUGUGUGUGUGAAGUUCGAGAGGCUGCUGCUGGGGUCGAGAGAUCGGCGAGAGUGGAAGAGGGAGGCCAGGGCGCGGCAGCCUUGCUGUUGCUGUCGUCCGGCCACGGACGAGGGAGAGUUCAUGUGGCUGGUCGGAGCUGGUCUGGGUGGAGGUUAGGGCUCCGGCGGGCGGCUCCGGCUGCUGCUCGUCGGCGGGAGUCAUAGAGAGAAUUCCGAGGGAGAUAAGAGGGCGGCGAUGGUGGCGGCAUGAAGCUGCUGCCGUCGGCCAAAGUUCAGCGGAGGGAGGUAGAGCUCGGCGGCCUUGGCUGCUGUCGCUCGACCACUAUCAGAGAGAGAGAGCUGGUGGCGGCAGCUCGUCGCUGCUGCUCCUCCGGCGAGCUCCACGGUGGGCGGCUGUUACCAGCCGAAGAGAGAGGGGCCGAGGGAGGCGGCUGGUCUUUUCGGUUGAUGCGGCUGCCGGUCGACGGCUGCCUCGCCGGAAGGAUGCGCGGUGGCGGGACUGAUGGCUGAGAGAGAAGGGAGCGAGAGAUGAGGGAAGAGGGAGCCGAGAGAGGGAGAGGAGGGUGCUGCUGUGAUUGUUACGUGUGUGUGUGAGCGGCUGAGGGGGGGGGGGAGAAAAAGGGGGUGGAGUGUAGGGUUGGGCUUUGGGAUUGGGUUUGAGUUGGGCUAGGGCUUAGAUGGAGUGAUGGGCCGAUUUUUUUUUUAUGGGCUGGGUUCUUAAUUUAAUUUUCAGUGGGCUUGACUUGGGCCGAUUUUAAUUGAGUGUUGGGCCGAGUUUUUAUUUAUUUUUGUUUCAGUUUGGGCCUUUACUUAUUAAAUCAAUUGGGCCAUUAAUUUUCAAUUGGGCUCAGUUUAUUAAAAUGAAUGUUGGACCUUCAAUUAUUUAAAAUUGUGGGCUGCCUCCUAUUAAUUAAAUUGGGCUUUCUUAUUUUUAAUUAAUUAAACUAUUAUUAGUUUGAUUAAUUUAUUUAAAGGAUAAUUUUCAUAAUAAUAUUAUAUUAUUAUUAUGUGCAUAUUUUAAGUAAUUACUUAUUAUAUGCUAAGCAUGACAUGAUUUGCAUUAUAUUUUGCAAUAAAAAUAUUUAUGAUUUAAUUGGUUUUAUUUAUAAUUCCAAUUAUUAAAAAUAGAUGAGUAAGAAUAUUGUUGGUGUUCUUAACUCAAGAGAAAUGUUUUCAAUUAUUUAUUCAUUAAAUUUUGAAAACCCGGCUAAGUGAAUCAUAGAAUAUUAAGCACUACACCAUGACUUAAGAUUAGAAUUCAAGGAGACCUAUUGAGAAUAGAAUUCUUGUAGGCUUUGUGCAUCAGGAGGAUUAGCACUGCUAUUCCGAUUCAGAGAUAAGGUUAAACGACAGGCUUUGCCUAGACAGGUGGGCAUUACUUUCCAAAUGUACAAAGUAUGAUUGAGUUAUUAAGCUCUAAAUGUUUCAAUGAAAUGCAAAUUAUUUAUUUAAUGUAAUGAAAACUGUUUAUCCAAUAAAAUGUUUAUGUGCACUCUGCUCUGUUUAAGGCUCGCACAGUUAAUCAAUUGAGGUUCUCUUAUGACCUAAUACGUUGUUUGAGAAUUGUGUACACUUGUUAGUUGACUCGGUGGGUUGAUCUCCAUCGGGCUCUAACCAGAGGCGUUAUAAGGGUGCUCGGCUGGAUGUGUUCCGGAGCAUGAGAAAUAUCAGGCCUGCCUGGGUAGCGUCCCGAGGUCAAUUCAACUUGUCUGAGUUACGUCCUCAGGGCAAGUGUCAGCGGGAGACAGAGAUCCGUCGGUGGCUAAGAGGUCCGGGAUCAUAGCGAGUAACAGAAAGGGAGUGUGACAUGUGCGCACAAAUGAAAGAAAAUGUUUUAACAUGCUUAGAAGUACUUCUUUCAAUUUAAAACCUUCUAAGUCAUGUCCAGUAUGAUUGGAUAAAUUGUCUUUAUUAAAAUAUGAGAUGUUUUAGAAAAUGCAUGCCCACUAAGUACAUUAGUACUUAGCCCAAAAAUACUUUCAAAUGUUUUCAGGUUGGCUGGCCGGUGCUGACGGGACGGAGCUGAGGCUAGCGAUAAAUUCCUAUGAUAGACUUCCGCUGUAGCAAUUACUCAUAUCAGUCUUUUGUUUUCCCAACUUAAGAUCUUCAUGUUAAAUUUCAAAUGAUAUACCUGACCGAGCUUAGACUCUUCACUACUUAAUUUAUGCCAAUGAAUGUCGGUUGUUAGAAGCAUGAAACAAAACUUGUGAUCCAAAGGGGCAUAGCCCGACUUUCUAUCCUAUUUCGGGUUUUUACAAGGUUGUUCCUUGUUUAUUUCUAUGAAUUA
rnacentral:lncRNA from 1 species